rnacentral:rRNA from 1 species
UGGGGAAUUUUGGACAAUGGGGGCAACCCUGAUCCAGCCAUUCCGCGUGAGUGAAGAAGGCCUUCGGGUUGUAAAGCUCUUUCAGCUGGAACGAAACGGUGCGCUCUAACAUAGCGUGCUAAUGACGGUACCAGCAGAAGAAGCACCGGCUAACUACGUGCCAGCAGCCGCGGUAAUACGUAGGGUGCGAGCGUUAAUCGGAAUUACUGGGCGUAAAGCGUGCGCAGGCGGAUUGUUAAGCAAGAUGUGAAAUCCCCGGGCUUAACCUGGGAAUGGCAUUUUGAACUGGCAGUCUAGAGUGCGUCAGAGGGGGGUGGAAUUCCACGUGUAGCAGUGAAAUGCGUAGAGACGUGGAGGAACACCAAUGGCGAAGGCAGCCCCCUGGGAUGACACUGACGCUCAUGUACGAAAGCGUGGG